rnacentral:rRNA from 1 species
UAUAAGUGAUGGCGACCGGCGCACGGGUGAGUAACACGUGUCCAACCUGCUGAUAACUCGGGGAUAGCCUUUCGAAAGAAAGAUUAAUACCCGAUGGUAUAAUAAAACCGCAUGGUUUAAUUAUUAAAGAAUUUCGGUUAUCGAUGGGGAUGCGUUCCAUUAGGCAGUUGGUGAGGUAACGGCUCACCAAACCUUCGAUGGAUAGGGGUUCUGAGAGGAAGGUCCCCCACAUUGGAACUGAGACACGGUCCAA